UACGGAGGGUGCAAGCGUUAAUCGGAAUUACUGGGCGUAAAGCGCGCGUAGGUGGCUUGAUAAGCCGGUUGUGAAAUCCCCGGGCUCAACCUGGGAACUGCAUCCGAAACUGGCAGGCUAUAGUCUUGUAGAGGGGGGUAGAAUUCCAGGUGUAGCGGUGAAAUGCGUAGAGAUCUGGAGGAAUACCAGUGGCGAAGGCGGCCUUCUGGACUGACACUGUCGCUGAGGUGCGAAAGCGUGGGUAGCAAACAGG
rnacentral:misc_RNA from 1 species